UUACUAGAGUACUAUGAACGAUUGUAAUUUAAAACUCAAAGAACUUGGCGGUGUUUUAGACCAUUUAGGGGAACCUGUCUCAUAAUCGACAAUCCACGUUGUACCUGACCUUUUUUUGUUUUUCAGUUUGUAUACCGUUGUCGUCAGGUAACUUUUUAGAAGAUAGAAGUUGGCUGGAAAAAUAAGGAUGAUUUAAUACGUCAAAUCAAGGUGCAGCUAAUAGAAAGGGGAGGAUGGGUUACAAUUAUAUAUUUAUAAGUACGGAUGAUUAUGUGUAAACGUGAUUUGUGAAGGCGGACUUAAAAGUAAAUUAAAUUAUAAGAAUAAUUUGAAUGAGGCUCUGAAGCGUGU
rnacentral:rRNA from 1 species